rnacentral:sRNA from 1 species
AGAAGCUCCCCAGCGUCGCCCUAGGCUGGGACUCUAGUGGGUCUUCGGCUCAGUUUUGGCUGCAGCGCCCGCGUAGGUCGCUUCGGCCGGGUUCUACGCCCGGCUCGACUAUGAGCCGGUGCGCCCAGGCGGCGGCAGUGGCGGCCACAGUGCCAGGUGCCGGCGUCGGGAACGUGGGGCUGCGGCCGCCCAUGGUGCCCCGUCAGGCGUCCUUCUUCCCGCCGCCGGUGCCGAACCCCUUCGUGCAGCAGACGCAGAUCGGCUCCGCGAGGCGGGUCCAGAUUUUCCUUCUUGGGAUUAUCCUGCUUCCAAUUCGUGUCUUAUUGGUUGCGUUAAUUUUAUUACUUGCAUGGCCAUUUGCUGCAAUUUCAACAGUAUGCUGUCCUGAAAAGCUGACCCACCCAGUAACUGGUUGGAGGAGGUAAGAAAUAAUUUUGUCCAAAAUAUUAGGACAUAAUAUUAAAUUAAGAUAUAUUAAAUCAAUGUAAGAAGAGUUCAUCAUAGUUUAGUCAGUGAUCUAACUGCUGUUAGAUAAAAUAUUUUAUCUGCCUACUCAAUAAUAAAUAAUUUAUUUUUAUUUCUCAUAUGAAAUACGUAGAAAUUACUGCCCAAAUGCCAACUACAUUAUGAUAAUCUUCUAAAAGUUAUAAUUUCCUAAUGUUAAAAUAUUUUGUUUUCUGAGUUAUUGCCAAAUGCGAUACAUCCCUAGUUCGGAAAGAUACCCAGCUACUAUACUUGAAACCACUGAAGCUACAAAAUACCUUGCUCUCUUCUGCUCUUCCUCAGUUUUCACAUUUGCUUUUCUCCCUCUA